GAUUAACGCUAGCGGCGGGCCUAAUACAUGCAAGUCGAGGGGCAGCGAGAGUAGCAAUACUUGUCGGCGACCGGCGCACGGGUGCGUAACGCGUAUGCAAUCUACCUUCAACUGGAAGAUAGCCCUCCGAAAGGAGGAUUAAUAUUCCAUAGUAUAAUUGAAUGGCAUCAUUUGGUUAUUAAAGAUUUAUCGGUUGAAGAUGAGCAUGCGUGACAUUAGCUAGUUGGUGAGGUAAUGGCUCACCAAGGCUACGAUGUCUAGGGGAUCUGAGAGGAUUAACCCCCACACUGGUACUGAGACACGGACCAGACUCCUACGGGAGGCAGCAGUAAGGAAUAUUGGACAAUGGUCGCAAGACUGAUCCAGCCACGCCGCGUGCAGGAUGACUGCCCUAUGGGUUGUAAACUGCUUUUAUACGGGAAAAAUAAGUUGUACGUGUACGACCUUGAUGGUACCGUAAGAAUAAGCACCGGCUAACUUCGUGCCAGCAGCCGCGGUAAUACGAAGGGUGCAAGCGUUAUCCGGAUUUAUUGGGUUUAAAGGGUGCGUAGGCGGGUUGGUAAGUCAGCGGUGAAAGCCUGUAGCUCAACUACAGAACUGCCGUUGAUACUACCGAUCUUGAGUAUGGUUGAUGUUGCUGGAAUGUGCAGUGUAGCGGUGAAAUGCUUAGAUAUUGCACAGAACACCAAUUGCGAAGGCAGGUAACAAAGCCACAACUGACGCUGAGGCACGAAAGUGUGGGGAUCAAACAGGAUUAGAUACCCUGGUAGUCCACACCGUAAACGUUGAUUACUCGAUGUUGGCGAUACACAGUCAGCGUCUAAGCGAAAGCACUAAGUAAUCCACCUGGGGAGUACGCUCGCAAGGGUGAAACUCAAAGGAAUUGACGGGGACCCGCACAAGCGGUGGAACAUGUGGUUUAAUUCGACACUAAGCGAAGAACCUCACCAGGACUUGACAUCUAGAGAAUCCCCACGAAAGUGGGGAGUGCCGCAAGGAGCUCUAAGACAGGUGCUGCACGGUCGUCGUCAGCUCGUGCUGUGAAGUGUCCCGUUAAGUCGGUUAACGAGCGCAACCCCUAUUGCAUGUUAAAUUUCUCAUGCGAGACUGCCGGUGUUAAAUCGGAGGAAGGCGGGGAUGACGUCAGAUCAGCGUGGCUCUUACGUUCUGGGCUACACACGUGUUACAAUGGGUAGAAACAAAGGGUUGCCAAGCUGCAAAGCGGAGCCAAUCUCAUCAAACCUACCCCCAGUUCGGAUUGAGGGCUGCAAUUCGCCCUCAUGAAGUCGGAAUCGCUAGUAACCGUAGGUCAGCCAUACUACGGUGAAUACGUUCUCGGGUCUUGUACACACCGCCCGUCAAGUCAGGAAAGUCGGUAACGCCCGAAGGGCCCAACAGGGCACCACGGUGGGAUCGAUGAUCAGGACU
rnacentral:rRNA from 1 species